GGGUGCCCUAUGGGUGCUGUAUGGGAUAUGGGUGCCCUAUGGGUGCCCUAUGGGUGCUGUAUGGGAUAUGGGUGCCCUAUGGGUGCUGUAUGGGAUAUGGGUGCCCUAUGGGUGCUCUAUGGGUACUCUAUGGGUGCUGUAUGGGAUAUGGGAUCCCUAUGGGUGCUGUAUGGGAUAUGGGUUCCCUAUGUGUAUCACAGCCCCCAAUCCCCCCCGCAGGCGCUGAGGCCAUGGCUGAGCCGUGCCCUAUGGGGUGUGGGUGCCCUAUGGGUGCCCUAUGGGUGCCCUAUGGGUGCUCCGUGCCCUAUGGGGUGUGGGUGCCCUAUGGGUGCCCUAUGGGUGCCCUAUGGGAUAUGGGUUCCCUAUGGGUAUCACAGCCCCCUGACCGACCCCAAUCCCCCCCGCAGGCGCUGAGGCCAUGGCUGAGCCGUGCCCUAUGGGGUGUGGGUGCCCUAUGGGUGCCCUAUGGCUGCUCUAUGGGAUAUGGGUGCCCUAUGGGUACCCUAUGGGUACUCUAUGGGAUAUGG
ensembl:lncRNA